rnacentral:rRNA from 1 species
CUACGGGGGGCAGCAGUGGGGAAUAUUGCACAAUGGGCGCAAGCCUGAUGCAGCCAUGCCGCGUGUAUGAAGAAGGCCUUCGGGUUGUAAAGUACUUUCAGCGGGGAGGAAGGGAGUAAAGUUAAUACCUUUGCUCAUUGACGUUACCCGCAGAAGAAGCACCGGCUAACUCCGUGCCAGCAGCCGCGGUAAUACGGAGGGUGGAAGCGUUAAUCGGAAUUACUGGGCGUAAAGCGCACGCAGGCGGUUUGUUAAGUCAGAUGUGAAAUCCCCGGGCUCAACCUGGGAACUGCAUCUGAUACUGGCAAGCUUGAGUCUCGUAGAGGGGGGUAGAAUUUCAGGUGUAGCGGUGAGAUGCGUAGAGAUCUGGAGGAAUACCGGUGGCGAAGGCGGCCCCCUGGACGAAGACUGACGCUCAGGUGCGAAAGCGUGGGGAGCAAACAGGAUUAGAUACCCGCGUAGUC